rnacentral:lncRNA from 1 species
ACCCGUUCAGAUAAUUCCGAAGAAAGACUGUUGGCGGCAGGUAGAGAGAUUUUUUUUUCCUCUUCAAAACACAAGGAAAUACGGGCAGGGUAGAGCUCGGCAGAGGGUUCGAGAAUAGGGUAGGGUCCUGUCCUUAAGAUUCAGAUAAGAAAAAUUAUGCAGGUGGGUUGAGGCUAAUGCCAUUACCAAGCAAAAAUCCAUCAAUUUGGAAAAACCCAUGUUCUCCAUUCUAAUUUCCACAAUAACGCAUCCAUUUAGUCCCAAAAAUCAUCAAUUUAAGUAUACAUAAGACAUUUAAACCAUGAGAUAUAUGAUUCAAGUGAUAAUCAUUCGAAG